rnacentral:lncRNA from 1 species
ACUAGAACAUACUUAAAUUUCAGAAUAAUUGUCAAUGCCAGUAUCCUGAUACAGGAUGACAGUGUGUAUACAUUUUUCUGGCGGACUCUGUAUAUGCAGUAGCUAAGGCAGUGGCAAAUGAUAAAACCUUGUUGGGACCCAGAGGAGAGUCCCAAUGCUUUCCAUGGCUUAUUAUUACAAGCGUAUUAUGUAUACUACAAGCCCUUGCUACAAAUACAUUUCCUGAUCUGUUUCAGAACGACUAUAGUUGUUUCAAAAUGCUCAGAACAUGUAUUGGUUUUGACAGAGUUGCCCAUAAUGUGUUGUGGUUACUUCAUGAUGG